rnacentral:lncRNA from 1 species
ACAGAGAAUCAUUCACCGCACAUAUAAUAUAAAGAAUGUUGUCUGGUGGCUAAAUAUCUGAAAGGGCAAGACUACAGCAAACUCCGUUCCUAUGGAGUGAUACUAGAAAACCAGUAUGCAAGUGUAUCUCAAUGAACAACCUAUUUGUUGUCCAAUAAGGAGCAACACACAUAAAGCUACGCAUGGUCUGUCCAAGACAUGUUUGAAAGAGAAUAACUAAAAGUGAUCUCAAGGUGGGCGGUUUCAAGAAGAAUAAAAGAAAUAAAAUAGUUUUAAAAAUCUUCUUGAAACAAGCUAUUCAGAUAAAGCACACAAGGCAAGGGAUAAUGAUAAAUAACAGUAAAAUGUCAUGUGCUUUGUGAGCUGGAACAAAUGAAGGAGCUGCAAGGUUUGACUAAAAUAUUCAACACAGCCAUAGAGAUAUUUAUCUUUAGGUGAACGGCGCAAGAAGAAUAAAGAG